rnacentral:rRNA from 1 species
AAAAGAUGAUAGAGUACAUGUUAGACACAAUGUGCUUUUCUAUAUUUUUGACCUCGUAUCAAGCAAGAUUACCCGCUGAACUUAAGCAUAUCAAUAAGCGGAGGAAAAGAAACCAACAGGGAUUGCCUUAGUAGCGGCGAGUGAAGCGGCAAUAGCUCAAAUUUGAAAUCUGCCAACAGGCCGAGUUGUAAUUUGAAGAAAGCAAUUCUGGAUGUGUCUUUGCUCAAGUUCCUUGGAAUAGGACAUCAUGGAGGGUGAGAAUCCCGUGAUGCGAAGGUAGCACGUCUAUGUAGAAUGUUUUCGACGAGUCGAGUUGUUUGGGAAUGCAGCUCAAAGUGGGUGGUAAAUUCCAUCUAAAGCUAAAUAUUGGCGAGAGACCGAUAGCGAACAAGUACUGUGAAGGAAAGAUGAAAAGAACUUUGAAAAGAGAGUGAAAAAGUACGUGAAAUUGUUGAAAUGGAAGGGCUUGAGAUUAGACAUGGUGUUUAGUGUUCCACUUUCUUUUGGGAAUGUGUACUCGCUUUACACCGGGCCAGCAUCAGUUUUGAUGGGAGGAUAAAUGGUAUUGAAUGUGGCUGCUUGCAGUGUUAUAGCUUUAUCAAAUACUUCCAAUCGGGACUGAGGACCGCGCAUUUGCUAGGAUGCUGGCGUAAUGAUCUUAAGCCACCCGUCUUGAAACACGGACCAAGGAGUCUAUUGCCUAUGC